CAGCAGCCGCGGUAAUACCGGCGGCCCGAGUGGCGGCCACUAUUAUUGGGCUUAAAGCGUCCGUAGCCGGGUUGGUUAGUCUCCCGGGAAAUCUGGCCGCUUAACGGUCAGAAUUCCGGGAGAUACUGCCAGCCUAGGGACCGGGAGAGGCCGAGGGUAUUCCCGGAGUAGGGGUGAAAUCCUAUAAUCCCGGGAGGACCACCUGUGGCGAAGGCGCUCGGCUGGAACGGGUCCGACGGUGAGGGACGAAGGCCAGGGGAGCAAACCGGAUUAGAUACCCGGGUAGUCCUGGCUGUAAACGAUGCGGACUUUGUGUCGGACAAGCUAUGAGCUUGUCCGGUGCCGGAGGGAAACCGUUAAGUCCGCCGCCUGGGGAGUACGGCCGCAAGGUUGAAACUUAAAGGAAUUGGCGGG
rnacentral:rRNA from 1 species